GACAGAGGGGGCAAGCGUUGCUCGGAAUCACUGGGCGUAAAGGGCGCGUAGGCGGGAUGGCAAGUCAGUCGUGAAAUCUCUCGGCUCAACCGAGAAACGUCGGCUGAUACUGCCGUUCUUGAGGGAUGCAGAGGAGACUGGAAUUCCCGGUGUAGCGGUGAAAUGUGUAGAGAUCGGGAGGAACACCGGCGGUGUAGACGGCUAUCUGGACAGUAACUGACGCUGAGACACGAAAAGCGUGGGGGAGCAAACAGG
rnacentral:rRNA from 1 species